rnacentral:rRNA from 1 species
CCCUUAGACGUUCUGGGCCGCACGCGCGCUACACUGACCAGUGCAACAAGCAUCCGUCCUUGGCCGACAGGCCCGGGCAAUCUUUGAACGCUGGUCGUGAUGGGGAUAGACUUUUGCAAUUUUUGGUCUUCAACGAGGAAUUCCUAGUAAACGCAAGUCAUCAACUUGCAUUGAUUACGUCCCUGCCCUUUGUACACACCGCCCGUCGCACCUACCGAUUGAGUGAUCCGGUGAAUAAUUCGGACUGCGGCAUUGACCGGUUCCCGAUCGUUGCUGCGGAAAGUUUAGUGAACCUUAUCACUUAGAGGAAGGAGAAGUCGUAACA